AUUGAACGCUGGCGGCAUGCCUACACAUGCAAGUCGAACGGCAGCACGGGUGCUUGCACCUGGUGGCGAGUGGCGAACGGGUGAGUAAUACAUCGGAACGUACCUUAUCGUGGGGGAUAACGCAGCGAAAGCUGUGCUAAUACCGCAUACGCCCUGAGUGGGAAAGCGGGGGAUCGCAAGACCUCGCGCGAUUAGAGCGGCCGAUGCCUGAUUAGCUUGUUGGUGGGGUAAAAGCCCACCAAGGCGACGAUCAGUAGCUGGUCUGAGAGGACGAUCAGCCACGCUGGGACUGGGACACGGCCCAGACUCCUACGGGAGGCAGCAGUGGGGAAUUUUGGACAAUGGGGGCAACCCUGAUCCAGCAAUGCCGCGUGAGUGAAGACGGCCUUCGGGUUGUAAAGCUCUUUUGUCAGGGAAGAAACACCGGCUCUAACACAGUCCGGGAAUGACGGUACCUGAAGAAUAAGCACCGGCUAACUACGUGCCAGCAGCCGCGGUAA
rnacentral:rRNA from 1 species